AGGGGAGGGGGCAUCAAACCAAAGUUCUGAGACGAAUGACGUCCAUUUAUUUCUUUUCUAUCGAGACGCCGUCGAGGAUGGUUACGCUAAUCAUUGCGGGGUACUCUCUUUCCUGAUGUGUUCACAACAAGGUUGGUGAAAAUUGUUCUGGACGUGCAGUGCCAAGUCAACAUGUGAUCAUUCCUUUUGAUGAGUUCUCUAUCAUGCUGCGAGAUGAAAAUGGAAGGAAAUCUGAAAUGGAAUUCUUGGUGAGUCUGUCUGGUGUUGGAGCUGUCAAUGGUGGUGUCUGUUGUGCAUUGGUGUGGCAGAUUUGUUUAUUAAGAAAUGCGCUGAAAUGGUUCUUCUGCAGACUUGGAAGUUUAAAAUCAGACUUCAUUUUACCAUGCUCUUGUCCAUGCAGUGUUGAGCUGUUGUGCAAAAUAGUUGGUGUUUCCUGAAGGCUGUCUGGCAUUUGGUUGGUGUAUUCUCUUGCUACCUGCACCCACAUUAAGUUCAAUCGUACGCCGCCGUUCCAAACUUGAUCCAUUGGUGAAGCCGAGAAAGAGUUGCUGAAAUUCAAGACUGGACAAUUUACAAAUGCAUAUCUGUUGUCCCUUUUCCCUGAGUAAACAGCAUGUCGGCCGUUGGUUAUUCGUCUGGUCGAACGGGAAAUAGCAAUGAGAAAUUCUGAUGUAUUUUUGGAGAAAGAUUAGUUGGACCACGAAGUAAUUCUCCCUUAAGAUUUGAUAUCAACUCUUCAUCCUUUAUAUAACGUUUCAAAUUGUUCGCUCUUCACAUGUGUAUGUACAAUAUUAUUACUUCGCAAAUAAUAAAAUAUGA